rnacentral:rRNA from 1 species
CCUACGGGAGGCUGCAGUGGGGAAUUUUGGACAAUGGGCGCAAGCCUGAUCCAGCCAUUCCGCGUGAGUGAAGAAGGCCUUCGGGUUGUAAAGCUCUUUCGCAAGGGAAGAAAACUUAUCCUCUAACAUAGGAUGAGGUUGACGGUACCUUGAUAAGAAGCACCGGCUAACUACGUGCCAGCAGCCGCGGUAAUACGUAGGGUGCGAGCGUUAGUCGGAAUUGCGGGGCGUAAUUCGUGAGCCGGCUGUGAAAUCCCUGGGCUCAACCUAGGAACUGCGUUUGAAACUACAAGACUAGAAUAUGUCAGAGGGGGGUAGAAUUCCACGUGUAGCAGUGAAAUGCGUAGAGAUGUGGAGGAAUAUCAAUGGCGAAGGCAGCCCCCUGGGAUAAUAUUGACGCUCAUGCACGAAAGCGUGGGGAGCAAACAGGAUUAGAUACCCUGGUAGUC